AUUGAACGCUGGCGGCAGGCCUAACACAUGCAAGUCGAACGAGUGGCGGACGGGUGAGUAAUGUCUGGGAAACUGCCCGAUGGAGGGGGAUAACUACUGGAAACGGUAGCUAAUACCGCAUACCCUCGGAUGUGCCCAGAUGGGAUUAGCUUGUAGGUGAGGUAACGGCUCACCUAGGCGACGAUCCCUAGCUGGUCUGAGAGGAUGACCAGCCUCCCGGGAACUGAGUCACGGUCCUGACGCCUACGGGAGGCCUCAGUUGGGAAUAUUGCACAAUGGGCGCAAGCCUGAUGCAGCCAUGCCGCGUGUACUAAGAAGGCCUUCUGGUUGUAAAGUACUUUCAGCGGGGAGGCGUGACCCGCAGAAGAAGCACCGGCUAACUCCGUGCCAGCCGCCGCGGUAAUAC
rnacentral:rRNA from 1 species